AUUGACCAUGUUGUAAACCAUUGUCUCUCUUUGAGAGAGGCUGGUUUAAGGGUGCAACCAAAUCUGCAGCGUCUGCAGCAAAACAACAGUAGGUUGCCAAAGGUUGCCUCCCACAGGAGGGAGAGGCAGAAUAUUAUAAGAUGCAGGCAGAGGAAAUACCAUGUCAACAAUGCAAUACAACUGUGGGAAAUUCGAAACAGAGUGCUGGCAGACAAUAUCACUUUUGGGAAUGUGAAUACAGUCAGCACAACGACAAUGGCCAGAGUCCCAGAGAAACAUUAAAUAAGGAGGAAGCAGUUGUACCCUUUGAGAGAAACAGUGAACGUGUGAAAGAACUCCAGUAUCAAUAUGUCCAGAGAGUAAUGGAGAUGAUGCUGGAUUCAACCUGGCAAAAACACACCGCAGGGGAAGAAAUGUGAUUGGACAGAGCAACCGUGGAUGUCCCAGG